rnacentral:rRNA from 1 species
GCCUGGGGACUACGAGGGAACCUUUAAAACCCGAGGGACUUGGCGGUGCCCUAUACCUCCCAGGGGAACCUGGCCCUUAAUUCGAUGAUCCACGAAUCUCUUACCUUUCCUUGUUUAAGCAUGCCCUGAUUGGGGCAUGUUUCUAUCAGUUUGCAUACCGCCGUUUUCAGCUUGUAUCGCGAGAUAAAAGAAACAGGCUAAUCAGCACUGUGAGCAUGGCCUGCUGGUGACAGGCAGGUGAUGGCACUGCUAGGAAUUCAGGUAAACGUGUAGCCAAUGGAAAGGGGGCGCUGGGUUACAAUUGAGGUUUGAAGUGGAUGGCAGCCCGAAGGGGCUGUUUGAAAGCGUACUUGGAAGUAAUGGCUUUGGGCAAUGAA